CGAGAAAGCCCGCAAGGGUGAGUAAAGCGGCGCACGGGUGCGUAACACGUGGGUAAUCUGCCCUAGAGUCUGGAAUAACUCGCCGAAAGGCGUGCUAAUGCCGGAUAAGACCACGGGAGCUUCGGCUCCUGCGGGAAAAGGUGGCCUCUGUAUACAAGCUAUCGUUCCAGGAUGAGCCCGCGGCCCAUCAGCUCGUUGGCGGGGUAAUGGCCCACCAAGGCUACGACGGGUAGCUGGUCUGAGAGGACGAUCAGCCACACUGGAACUGAGACACGGUCCAGACUCCUACGGGAGGCAGCAGUGGGGAAUCUUGCGCAAUGGGCGAAAGCCUGACGCAGCAACGCCGCGUGUGUGAUGAAGGUCUUCGGAUCGUAAAGCACUGUCGCGAGGGACG
rnacentral:rRNA from 1 species